AAGCCAGCCAGUGAGUCUGCUUACCUAACUGAGUUUAUGUAGAGAUUUAAACAGUCAUUAAUAGAGCCGUAAGGAUAAGCAAAGUCAUUAAGGUCCCUGAGAAGGUCUACAAAA
rnacentral:snoRNA from 1 species